rnacentral:rRNA from 1 species
GGACCGUUGUAAACCAGAUUUGGAACACUGGCGGGAUGCUACACAUGCAAGUCGAACGGCAGCACGGACUUCGGUCUGGUGGCGGUGGCGAACGGGUGAUAAUGUAUCGGAACGUGCCUAGUAGCGGGGAUAACACGCGAAAGCGUAGCUAAUACCACAUACGCCAGCGGGGGAAAAGCGGGGGACCUUCGGGCCUCGCACUAUUAGAGCGGCCGAUAUCGGAUUAGCUAGUUGGUGGAGUAACGGCUCACCAAGGCGACGAUCCGUAGCUGGUUUGAGAGGACGACCAGCCACACUGGGACUGAGACACGGCCCAGACUCCUACGGGGAGGCAGCAGUGGGGAAUUUUGGACAAUGGGGGAAACCCUGAUCCAGCCAUCCCGCGUGUGCGAUGAAGGCCUUCGGGUUGUAAAGCACUUUUGGCAGGAAAACGGCACGGGAUAUUACCCCGUGCAACUGACGGUACCUGCAGAAUAAGCACCGGCUAACUACGUGCCAGCAACUUCACUGAUAUUACGUGGUGCAAGCGUUAAUCAGAUUACUGGGCGUAAAGCGUGCGCAGGCGGUUCGGAAAGAAGAUGUGAGAUCCCAGAGCUUAACUUUGGAACUGCAUUUUUAACUACCGAGCUAGAGUGUGUCAGAGGGAGGUGGAAUUCCGCGUGUAGCAGUGAAAUGCGUAGAUAUGCGAGGAGGGAACACCGAUGGCGAAAGGCAGCCUCCUGGGAUAACACUGACGCUCAUGCACGAAAAGCGUGGGGAGCAAACAGGAUUAGAUACCCUGUGGUAGUCCACGCCUAAACGAUGUCAACUAGCUGUUGGGGCCUUCCGGACGCUUGGUAGCGCAGCCAACGCGUGAAGUUGACCGCCUGGGAAUACGGUCGCAAGAUUAAAACUCAAAGGAAUUGACGGGGACCCGCACAAGCGGUGGAUGAUGUGGAUUAAUUCGAUGCAACGCGAAAACCUUACCUACCCUUGACAUGUCUGGAAUCCCAGGGGUUGGGAGUGCUCGCAAAGAGAACCGGAACACAGGUGCUGCAUGGCUGUCGUCAGCUCGUGUCGUGAGAUGUUGGGUGAAGUCCACGGCGAGCAACCCUUGUCAUUAGUUGCUACGAAGGGCACUCUAAUGAGACUGCCGGUGACAAACCGGAGGAAAGUGGAGUGAUGACGUCAAGUCACUCAUGGCCCAUAUGGGUAGGGCUUCACGUCAUACAAUGGUCGGGACAGAGGGUCGCCAACCCGCGAGGGGGAGCCAAUCCCAGAAACCCGAUCGUAGUCCGGGAUCGCGGCAGUCUGCAACUCGACUGCGUGAAGUCGGAAUCGCUAGUAAUCGCGGAUCGGCAUGUCGCAGUGAAUACGUUCCCGGUGCAUACACCGCCCGUCACACCAUGGGAGUGGGUUUUACCAGAAGUAGUUAGCCUAACCGUAAGGAGGGCGAUUACCACGGUAGGAUUCAUGACUGGGGUGAAGUCGUAACUGGGUAG